ensembl:lncRNA
GUUCAUGACCCAUUGCAGUGCAGCAUGGUCGGUAACAACCGUAAAAAGCUUGUGCUCCAAGUAAUGUUGCCACUUUUCCAGGGCCCAGAUAACUGCAAGACAUUCCUUCUCCGUUGCAGUAUAAUUUAGUUCGGCCCCAGUUAAGGUUCGGCUUGCAUAGGCUAUAACCUCCUCUCUGCCUACCUCCCUCCGUUGUGCUAAUAUGGCACCCAGGCCGAUGUCGCUGGCAUCGGUGUAAACAAUGAAUGGCCGCUGAAGAUCGGGAUGGCCCAGAAUGGGAGGUGAGUGUGUUGAGGGGUUCAGUAAUCUUGGAAAAAUUUGGAACGAAACGGUGAUACCACCCGGCUAACCCGAGGAACCGUUGAACUUCCUUCACGUUCGUAGGCACAGGAUAGGUAUGAAUGGCUUCAGUUUUACAUGGGUCUGCUGAAAUGCCUUUGACACUUACAACAUGUCCUAGGAAGGUGAGUUCUUGAAGACAGAAUUUACUUUUCUUUAAGUUUAUGGUGAGACCAGCAGUUCCUAGUCUAUGGAGGACAGUCUGGAGGUCGUGGAAAUGCUGAGUUAUUGAAGGCGAGUACACAAUGAUGUCAUCGAUGUACACAAAGCAUAUUUUUCUCCUUAGUUCUCCCAGAACUGUCUCCAUAAGCCUCUGAAAAGUUGCGGGAGCAUUUUUGAGACCAAACGGCAUAACAUUAAAUUGAUAGAGACCUGCAGGAGUGAUGAAGGCUGUCUUGGUUUUGCUGUUGGGAUCCAUGGUCACCUGCCAAUAUCCACUGUUUAGAUCAAUAGUAGAGAAGAUGGCUGCCCCAGAGAGGGAUUCCAGAAUUUCUGUGAUGUUGGGAAGAGGACCACCGGUGAUGCCCAAGCAGAGUGGGAUGGUUCAACUAUUCCUUGCCUCAACAUCUCAUCAAGUUGCUCCUCCAGGGCAAAUUGCUUGAGGGGAGACAAACGGUAUGGCCGUUGUUUAAUGGGGACUUGGCUGGUGGCAUAAAUGCUGUGUUGGAGAACCUCAGUACGUCCAGUACGGAGAGUACACACCUGAGGGCUUUCGUUCAGGAUUUGGAGUAAAUGUAGCUUUUCAUCAAAGGGGGUACUCUUUUGAAGGAUCCAGCUUGAAGGAGUAUUUUUGAUCAAUGACAUUGAGUUGCAGCCCACUGAAGAAAAUAAAGUCCAACCCCAAGACUACAGCAUAAGCUAGAGCUUGGGAUGAAAGUACAGCAGUAGAUAAAGAGGACCACGGCACCACGGUUGCAGCUGGUCGGGGGAUGUUAGCUGCCUCAUGAGAUUCUCAUGGAUGAGUGUGUAGCUUGCACCAGUGUCCACAAUGGCUUUACCUGACCAGGCAUCGAUACAAAGGGGAACAACUAUUUGUUGAGGCACAGCUAGAAGUUCAUUAGAGCUUGUACAUGAGGAGGAGGUUUUCUUGGUUGCUGAUUGUGACUUAUGACUUUUUGUUGCAGCAACAGAGUUGUUGGACGGAUGACCACCUGACUUGGGGUGAUAAGGUUGUUUGCCGCUAGUGGAAUACUGUGGACCAGACGUCUGAGGUGACUGGGGAGAGUUGAUGUCCUAAUUUUACCAGCUCUUCCACAGUAUUUACUCGGCUACGCAAUUGGCUGGCAAGUACGGACACGUUCAGCCAGUUCGUCCUCAUAAUCCUCAGAAAGGAAAGCAGAUAUGAAUGCAGUCUCAAACUCAAUCCAAGUGGUUAUGGUGGACCGUCUGACUUCCCACCAGUCUCGUGCUGUUCCGUACAAGACAGUACGGAAGGUAGCCAGGAUGUCUGCAUCUGUCAGGGGAUGUACAGCCAAAAAAUCCUGACAUUUGG